GUUUGAUCCUGGCUCAGAAUCAACGCUGGCGGCGUGCCUAACACAUGCAAGUCGCACGAGAAAGGGACUUCGGUCCUGAGUACAGUGGCGCACGGGUGAGUAACACGUGAAUCAUCUACCUCCGAGUGGGGAAUAACUGAGAGAAAUCUUAGCUAAUACCGCAUAACACUUACGAGUCAAAGCAGCAAUGCGCUUGGAGAGGAGUUCGCGGCAGAUUAGUUAGUUGGCGGGGUAAUGGCCCACCAAGACGAUGAUCUGUAUCCGGCCUGAGAGGGCGCACGGACACACUGGAACUGAAACACGGUCCAGACUCCUACGGGAGGCAGCAGUGGGGAAUUUUGCGCAAUGGGGGAAACCCUGACGCAGCAACGCCGCGUGGAGGAUGAAAUCCCUUGGGAUGUAAACUCCUUUCGAUCGGGAAGAUAAUGACGGUACCGAGAGAAGAAGCCCCGGCUAACUUCGUGCCAGCAGCCGCGGUAAUACGAGGGGGGCAAGCGUUGUUCGGAAUUAUUGGGCGUAAAGGGUGCGUAGGCGGUUUGAUAAGUCACAUGUGAAAUCUUCGGGCUCAACCCGAAGUCUGCAUGCGAAACUGUCGGGCUUGAGUAUGGGAGAGGUGAGUGGAAUUUCCGGUGUAGCGGUGAAAUGCGUAGAUAUCGGAAGGAACACCUGUGGCGAAAGCGGCUCACUGGACCAUAACUGACGCUGAUGCACGAAAGCUAGGGGAGCAAACAGGAUUAGAUACCCUGGUAGUCCUAGCCCUAAACGAUGAUUGCUUGAUGUGGUGGGUACCCAAUCCCGCCGUGUCGAAGCUAACGCGAUAAGCAAUCCGCCUGGGGAGUACGGUCGCAAGGC
rnacentral:rRNA from 1 species